AUGUCGGGGACGGUGGUGAGCAUGGCGAGGUCGAUGCUGAUGAGCGCCAUCAGCGUGGCCGCCUCUGCCGCUGCUGCUGAGAUGAGCCUCCUCAUUGGCGUCCGCAAAGACAUCUGGUUCAUCAGAGACGAGCUAGAGACCAUGCAUGCAUUCCUUUUGUCCAUAGAAGCAACGAAGAACAAAAGCAUGGUACUGCAGGUGUGGGCUAAGCAAGUAAGGGAUCUUUCCUAUGGUAUUGAGGAUUGUCUUGAUGAAUUUAUGGUGCAUGUGGAAAGCCAGAGCCGGUCUCGGCAGAUGUGUAAGAUGAAAGACCGCCAUCGGAUUGCCAACCAAAUCCGUGAUCUCAAAGCAAGAGUUGAAGAAGUCAGCAACAGGAACACACGCUAUAACUUAAUCACAGUUGAUGCCUCCAGCAACAUUGAUGGGGUGAAUUCCUACAUGGAAGAUAUUCGCAACCACUCAGCUAGCAACAUUGACGAGGCAGAGCUUGUGGGAUUUGCUAAGCCUAAAGAGGAGUUGAUUAAGAUGGUGGAUGUCGACUCCAGAGAUGGUCUUUGCAAGGUGAUAUGUGUUGUUGGCAUGGGUGGUUUAGGAAAGACCACUCUUGCAAGGAAGGCAUAUGAAAGUAAGGAAGAUACUGUUAAUAAUUUUUCUUGUUGUGCCUGGGUCACAGUCUCACAGUCAUUUUCCAAGAUAGAUAUGCUCAAGGACAUGAUUAGGCAGCUAUUGGGUGCUGAUUCAUUGAAGAUUUGCUUGAAGGAACUUGAAGGGAGGGCGGUGCAAGUAGACAAUCUUGCUAGCUACCUGAGAGAAAAGCUAGUGGAGAAGAGGUACUUCAUUGUUCUUGAUGAUCUGUGGACAAUAGAUUCUUGGAAGUGGAUCAAAGAUAUUGCAUUUCCUAGUAGAAACAAUAAAGGUAGCCGGAUAAUAGUAACAACACGAGAUGAUGGCUUGGCUAAGGAGUGCACAUCUGAAUCUCUUGUCUAUCACCUUAAGUACUUGCAAACAAAUGAUGCCACAAAAUUGCUACUAAUAAAGAGUAGGAAAACACAUCAAGACAUGGAUAAUGAUAAGGAGAUGAAGACCAUGGUUGACAAAAUAGUAAAGAAGUGUGGUGGCCUACCGCUGGCUGUACUCACUAUAGGAGGCAUGCUUGCCACCAAAAAAGUAACAGAGUGGGAGAGUAUCUAUAAACAAAUCCCCUUAGAGCUUGAGGUCAAUCCUAGCCUUGAAGCAAUGAGGAGGAUUGUUACUUUGAGCUACAACCACUUGCCAUCUCAUCUCAAGUCAUGUUUUUUGUAUCUAAGCAUCUUUCCUGAGGAUUCUGAAAUCAAAAGGAGACGUUUGGUGGAGAGAUGGAUAGCCGAGGGGUUUGUUAGAGCGAGGGCUCGGGUGAGCAUUGAGAAUGUGGGAAAUGAUUACUUUAAUGAGCUUGUCAACCGUAGCAUGAUUCAAUCUUCAAGUGUGAAUUUAGAAGGAGUUGUUAAGAGUUGUCGAGUCCAUGAUAUUGUGCGUGAUGUCAUGGUCUCAAUUUCCAGAGAUGAAAAUUUUGUGUAUGUGGCGGAAGAAAAUGUAACUAGUGCCGCAGAAGAGACAUUUCGCCAUGUAGCACACCAUGGUAGCAAGUUCCAGAAUAUUGGCAUGGAUUGGGGCCAUGUUCGGUCAUUGACCAUAUUUAGUGAGAGACCAUUGGAAUCUUCAAUAUUUUCACCCGAGGCAAGAAUGCUCAGAAUCUUGGAUCUAGGGAAUGCACAAUUUCGAGUCACACAAGAGGAUAUCAAUAACAUAGGAUUGUUGUGCCACUUAAAGUAUGUGAAUUUUUCUAAUCCUAAAAGGUAUUCAUAUAUUUAUAAACUCCCAAGGUCCAUAGGAAAAUUACAGGGCUUGCGUACUUUGGACAUAAGAGGUAGUUAUAUUACAGAACUACCAACUGAGAUUAGUAAGCUCAAGAGCCUGCACAGUCUCCGUUGUACCAGAAAUAGUUCCUACGAAUACUUUGACCUGGAUGACCCCAAGGACUGUUUGCUGACCACAUUUUGUCUGCCAGUGCUGUUCACACCUUUGGCUGAUCGUAUUGACGGCACUGAGGUAGUUGCGGAGCUCCACAUGGCAUGGUCUAGCCGUUGGUCCGGGUCAAUAGGUGUGAGGGUGCCAAAAGGAAUUGGCAACCUAAAAGAGCUACAAAUACUAGAGACCGUGGACGUCAGACGAACUAGUCGCAAAGCAAUUAAAGAGCUUGGUGAGCUUGUGCAACUGAGAAAACUAAGCUUGGCAAUGCAGGGGGCCACCAAGCAAAAAUGCAAGGUACUUUGUGAUGCCAUUCAGAAGCUCAGUUUCCUCCGCUAUCUUGUUGUGGCAAGUGACUCAAAUGGAAAAAUCGAGUGGCUGCACUCCGUUUCCUCUAUUCCUAUCCUGCUGAGAACCCUGGGCUUGUGUGGAUGCCUUGUAGAGAUUCCUGGCUGGUUUGUGAAUCUGUUGCAUUUGGUCAAGCUUUACUUACUGCGGAGCCAAAUAAAGGAAGAAGGUAAAUUCAUGGAAAUACUAGGUGCACUGCCAAGCCUCGUUCACCUUUAUCUUGGAGUUGGCUCUUAUAUAGGGGGGAAGUUAGUGUUCAAAAUGGCAGCAUUCGCAAAUCUCAAGAAACUUGAUAUUUGGAGUCUGGAGCAACUGAGAGAGUUGAUGUUCGAGGAGGGCACCUUGCCCCAGUUAGAAAGGAUAGAAAUCAACUACUGCCGAUUGAAAUCAGGGAUCAUUGGUAUCAAGCACCUUGCAAGCCUCAAGGAGAUUUCACUUGGUUGGGAUGGUAAAGUGGCAAGGCUUGGUAUGCUGCAACAUAAAGUGGAUACACACCCCAACCGUCCUGUCCUGCGACUCAAGAUGGACCGGAGCCACCACGACCUUGGCGACAUCGUCGAAUGA
rnacentral:rRNA from 1 species